rnacentral:ncRNA from 1 species
UGUGAUCUUCGAGAGUGCUACACAGGUACUGCACGGUUGUCGUCAGCUCGUGUCGUGAGAUGUUCCCUUAAGUGGGAGAACGAGCGCAACCCCCGUGAUAUGUUGAUUUUCAUAUCAGACUGCCGGCGUUUAAGCUGGAGGAAGGUGGGGAUGACGUCAAAUCAGCGUGGUCUUUACGCCCUGGGCGACACACGUGCUACAAUGCAUAGGAACAAAGGGACGCAACAUCGCAAGAUAGAGCAAAUCCUCUCAAAAACUAUGCUCAGUUCGGAUUGGGGGCUGCAACUCGCCCCCAUGAAGCUGGAAUCGCUAGUAACCGUGAAUCAGCCUCGUCACGGUGAAUACGUUCUCGGGUUUUGUACACACCGCCCGUCACACCAUGGAAGUGGUUAAUACCCAAUAUCUGCGCAAGCGGACUAAGGUAAGAAUCAUGACUGGGGUGAAGUCGUAACAAGGCAUCGGUAGCGGAAGCUGUCGAUGGAUCACCUCCUUU